rnacentral:rRNA from 1 species
GACGAACGCUGGCGGCGUGCCUAAUACAUGCAAGUAGAACGCACAGUUUAUACCGUAGCUUGCUACACCAUAGACUGUGAGUUGCGAACGGGUGAGUAACGCGUAGGUAACCUGCCUGGUAGCGGGGGAUAACUAUUGGAAACGAUAGCUAAUACCGCAUAAUAUUAAUUAUUGCAUGAUAAUUAAUUGAAAGUUGCAAUUGAACCACUACCAAAUGGACCUGCGUUGUAUUAGCUAGUAGGUGAGGUAACGGCUCACCUAGGCGACGAUACAUAGCCGACCUGAGAGGGUGAUCGGCCACACUGGGACUGAGACACGGCCCAGACUCCUACGGGAGGCAGCAGUAGGGAAUCUUCGGCAAUGGACGAAAGUCUGACCGAGCAACGCCGCGUGAGUGAAGAAGGUUUUCGGAUCGUAAAGCUCUGUUGUAAGAGAAGAACGGGUGUGAGAGUGGAAAGUUCACACUGUGACGGUAUCUUACCAGAAAGGGACGGCUAACUACGUG